CUGACUGCUGGCAGGCACUCAGUUUCAAAAGUGUUAGUGGGCAUGCGCAGUAUUCUACUGGGCGUGGACAAAUCCUGCCGGAAAUCUAAAAGACACCGGAAAUAGAGUGGCCGUGAAAUCUUAAAUGUUGUAGUAAUUCUAGUGUUACUUCGCUGGCGGAUCCGCGAGGUGGUUUGGAACUUUUCCAUCCGGGACUCUUUGGCUUCCAUAGGCGGAAGUCGCCGUCUGGCGUGCGGUGUGCAGAGCUCUCUGAGGUGCUGUGUGAGUGUGCUCUCCUGUGGAAUUUCACAAGUCGUCCAUGAAAGUUGUCAUCUGAGGACACUGGGGGCAGGACUCAGUGAGUGGGCGCUGCGGGAGCGGGUCCCGGGUGGGAGCCGGGAGCCUAAGAGCAAGGACUUUGAGGUGGCUUGUGACCCACUCAGGCCGUGAUUGGCGUAGGAGUCAGCACAGGCAGCGAUGGAGCCUGGUGCGGGUGUUGUAGGAUGCUUGUUUGGGCGACUCUGGUUGGUUAGUGUUCGUGUGGCCAGUGACUGAGGCUUGAUUCCUCAUAGUACUAUGUGAAGAGAAACAGCGUCGGCUUUACCAAAGAAAGUGUCAGGACCACAGGUGUCUGAACUGUGUGUGCUCAGGCUGUCACUGAUGAGGUAGGAAGGGUGACCCAGGCAUUGCAUGCUGCCAAGUAUCUCAGCUGCUGAGCUCAAGAGAUUUCUUCUAAGAUCUGUAAAAGUAAGGAAUUUUGUUUUAUGGGCUGCUGUUGGGUCUCCUUUACCAACUAGUUCGUUCUUACCUCAGGGUGGGCCGGCAUUAUUGAAGGAAUAAACCCGAAUAUUAAAAACAAAUUUUCAUUGUUUCGGGCACUUUAGAGUUAUAUUUGGGAAUCCUUUGGAGAUUAUGUGCAUCAGUGCUUGCCUCUCUUGGGGAUCUUAAAGAUCACUGAUUGGCAGUUGACCAAAAUAAUAUUGGGCCAUAGUACUUGUACUCCAGUAUUUGUGCUGCUAUGGAGUCCCUAAAAAACUGUGUAUUAAUCCGAAAGUAGUAGAUCAUACCUUUAAAU
ensembl:lncRNA